rnacentral:misc_RNA from 1 species
GAUGAAGAACGCAGCGAAAUGCGAUAAGUAAUGCGAAUUGCAGAAUUUCCGUGAGUCAUCGAAUCUUUGAACGCACAUUGCGCCCACUGGUAUUCCGGUGGGCAUGCCUGUUCGAGCGUCAUUAUCCUCCCUCAAACCCCGGGCUUGGUGUUGGACCCAAGUUGUGUGAACAACUGGUCUCAAAGACAAUGACGGCGUCCGUGGGACCCUCGGUGCAACGAGCUUUUAGGAGCACGCAUCGAGUUGCAAGGACCUUCCGGGCCGGUCUCCUUUACCAUUUUACAAGGUUGACCUCGGAUCAGGUAGGAAUACCCGCUGAACUUAAGCAUAUCAAUAAGCGGAGGA